rfam:Gossypium hirsutum cultivar TM-1 chromosome 1, whole genome shotgun sequence
UGUUAAAAGUUUCAUCAAUUUCUACUGUUAAAAACCUGCAUGGCCGACAGAACAACCGAACAAUUACACAUGCCGUGCCAUAUUCACCUCAGGUUGAUGUACAGAAACUAAUUUUUAACAAUAAAAAUGGAUGUAAUUUUAACA